rnacentral:rRNA from 1 species
CCGCCGCCGUAACACAUGCAAGCCGAGCGGUAGAGAUUCUUCGGGAUCUUGAGAGCGGCGUACGGGUGCGGAACACGUGUGCAACCUACCUUUAUCUGGAGGAUAGCCUUUCGAAAGGAAGAUUAAUACUCCAUAAUAUAUUGAAUGGCAUCAUUUGAUAUUGAAAGCUCCGGCGGAUAGAGAUGGGCACGCGCAAGAUUAGCUAGUUGGUGAGGUAACGGCUCACCAAGGCCAUGAUCUUUAGGGGGCCUGAGAGGGUGAUCCCCCACACUGGUACUGAGACACGGACCAGACUCCUACGGGAGGCAGCAGUGAGGAAUAUUGGUCAAUGGGUGCAAGCCUGAACCAGCCAUCCCGCGUGAAGGACGACUGCCCUAUGGGUUGUAAACUUCUUUUGUAUAGGGAUAAACCUACUCUCGUGAGAGUAGCUGAAGGUACUAUACGAAUAAGCACCGGCUAACUCCGUGCCAGCAGCCGCAGUAAGAC